rnacentral:SRP_RNA from 1 species
GCUGGGCAUGGUGGCGCGUGCCUGUAGUCCCAGCUACUCGGGAGGCUGAGGCAGGAGAAUCGCUUGAACCCGGGAGGUGGAGUUUGCAGUGAGCCGAGAUCGCGCCAUUGCACUCCAGCCUGGGCGGCAGAGCGAGACUCUGCCUCCA